rnacentral:rRNA from 1 species
UCCCAUUACGCAAGUAAGUAAGAUCCCUCAAAGACGAUGAGGUAGAUAGGUUCGAGGUGGAAGUGUGGUGACACAUGGAGCUGACGAAUACUAAUCGAUCGAGGACUUAACCAA